AUGGAGAUACCUAAAAGAAUCCGUAACCCAAUCAAAAAAAGAAAAGUCAGUGAGCCAGUCACUGCCCUACAAAAUGAAGAACAAGAAGGACUUUAUGUUUUUCUAACAUUUGAAGAUGGAUAUACUGCAAGAAUUUGUAAGACCUGCGACAUACUUACAGAAAAGGAGUCGCCAAUUACUAGCUUUGAGGGACUCAUUCCAGGAGCUCGAGUUCUUGCAAGAUGGUCAGACAACAAAUUUUAUAAUGCCACUGUAGAUCACAUUGGGUUCUGUGACCAAAAGCAGGACCCGAGAAAGGGUGCAAAGAAGGACAUAAAAAGAAAUUAUGCAUCUGCUGAAUCAUUUUAUAACCAGAAUCGGGUCGCUUCUGCACCAGCUGAACAUGGUCCUUCCUCUGCACUAACCCAGCCUCCGUCUCCAGGAUUGCCACCAACCCAACAUCAAUCUGUGCAAUUACCAUGCUCUGUUAAGCCUUUUAAUCCACAGCCCAUGACACCAUCUGAGUAUUGUAAUCAAGACCAGCCAGGUUUCUUAGAUUUAGAUGAACAUCAAAGACAAACCAUUACACAUAAUUCAACCCCAAAAGAAACAUUUUUGGGGCUUCUGUAUAACCCGUCUAUACCUCACCCCUCAGCUGAAGUUACAAUUCAGGAUGACCAGCUUGGGUUAGAGCCUGAGGAGUAUGAAGAUCCCACAGUCAGAUCACAGAAUUCUUCCUAUGAAAAUGAACAAUGGGAGCCAUGUGAAACAUGCAAGCUGGAGGUACAGGCAUUACUUAAAGAGAAUAAGAUGAUGAAAGAUGUGCUUUCCAGCAUGAAUCUUGAACACCUACAGGUACUCAGAGAAUUUAUAGAUAAGAUGGAAGACUACAAAUCACGUGAAAGUGGGGUGCUGAUGCCUCAAACCAGACCUGGCCAACAAGAACUUUACCCAGACAGUGGGCUGCUCUUGUCCUCUACCAAACUAGCAGCUAUUCACCAAGAGUCAAAGAAGGACUGUCUUCGUCUUUUCCAUCUACUGUUUGAUCAGUUCUUCACUCAUGAAGAAUGUUCAAACUCUGUAGCAUUUGGAAAGCAUGGCAAAGUCCCAGAGGGCAAGACAAUUUUGGAUAAAAGUAAAGUAAAUGGAAUACUAACUUAUGUCAUGAGCUGCGGCAAAUGUCAUGGAUGGAAACCAGUUGAAAAGUCAAAGCUGAAGAAAGCCCUUAUAAACAAGUGUCGCAUGAGAUCAACUUAAAUGUUUAUGUAAUUGUAGUGUUACAUCAAUGAUGUUGUGUCAUUUACUGGUAUUUUAUUUUGCUGUUUCUGUAUUUAAGUAUCUAUAUGUAGCUGUGCUGCAGUCUAGAAUUUGUUAGUUUUUUUUUUUAAAUGCUGCUUAUAAAGUGUAAAAAAGAAACUAUAUAUUUUAGUUUGAUAUUGUAGAAAACUUGUUUCUCUAAGAUUAAAAUAUGUGUCUUUACAGAGAUUGCAAAGUAUAAACAUAACUCAUGUGCAGUAUCUAACACUAUUUUAUUUUUUUUUUUUUAUUUGAAGUGCCUUGUAAAAGAUUUCCAUAUUGUAUUUUCUUGCCAUUGUAUUAAGCAUGUAAAAUGAAACUUGAAACCUACAUGAGCAAAGAAAAUGUUAACCUCAUACUGAGCACAGUAAAAGCAGCCUAACGUCUGAGCAAUAAAACUUUCUGCAAGACACUAAAGAGCUCUCCC
ensembl:lncRNA